rnacentral:rRNA from 1 species
AUUGAACGCUAGCGGGAUGCCUUACCCAUGCAAGUCGAACGGCGUGGCGAACGGGUGAGUAAUGUAUCGGAACGUGCCCAGUAGAGGGGGAUAACUAAGCCAAAGCGUAGCUAAUACCGCAUACUAUUGGAGCGGCCGGUAUCGGAUUAGCUAGUUGGAGGGGGAACGGCUCACAAAGGCGACGGACCGUAGCUGGUUUGGGAGGACGACCAGACACACUGGGACUGAGACACGGUCAAGACUCCUACGGGAGGCAGCAGUGGGGAAUUUUGGACAAUGGGCGAAACCCUGAUCCAGCCAUCCCGCGUGUGUGAUGAAGGCCUUCGGGUUGUAAAGCACUUUUGGCAGGAAAGCGGUACCUGCAGAAUAAGCACCGGCUAACUACGUGCCAGCAGCCGCGGUAAUAC